ensembl:snoRNA SNORA63 Small nucleolar RNA SNORA63
GUGCAGUGCAUAUACUGUUACACUCUAACUGAAAUAUUUUAUUGUUAUCCCUGCUUAAAGCACGUGAUGCGUAACUAUGUCUAUGUAACUCCAUUCCAUAGUUAGACAGAGAUGCUUGGUUUCCAACAU